CCACAGUUGCUCUGGGGGAAACCUAGUGACAAUGGGUGGGGGGGGAGGUCUCUUCUGGGCCCCACAUGGCUCUGUGAGGGCGCAGCCUGUGCUGAGCCCCUUGGUAGCUGGAAGGCCCCUUAGCUUGCUGAUUGAAGGUGACAAGCAGCUGCCUGCAUCCCCGAGGCCCCUCAAAGCUUAAUGCUGGUAAUGCUGUUGCUGUGUUACAAAUUCGGCGCCCACGCCUUGCAGCCACGCUGGCACCUUCCACUUGCUGCAGUGUUUACCUUGCUGGAGACUUCAACUCUGAAGGCCUCAAUCUCUUUGUCUGGAAAAUGGCCAUUCUGAUGUCACAAAGCUCUUGUAUUGUGAGAAGGGAGUCGGAGGCAAAGUGCCUGGUGCCUGUCUGCCCCACCCCUGAGGAGAAGCCGGCCUGGGGUGGCCCCACAGUGCAAGUGCCUGCAACUGGGAAUUCUCCGAGGUCCAGGAGGUCCCGGGGCUGCAUUCCGAGAAACGGCGGAGGCCUGAACACCGGGUGGUGGGUGGGUCGCUAGGCCCUUGGUGUCCAGGAACCAGUCAUGCAUUUCAGCAUCAGAACUCGGUGCUGCCCAGGCCUACAGCCCGUCUCUAUAGUGGCGAUCACCUCCCGAAGACACAUACUCCCUCAGGCUGGCAUCCCCUUGAUGGCUAAGGCUGUGGAAGUUUCCUGCAAGGUGCUUUCUGGCUCCGGGGAGAUCACGUCAGGUCCUCAUACCUUUUUUAGGUUAGGAACAUGAAAAUCCCCAACUGCGGGGCGUUAACUUCUUACCACGGGGGCCCGUGGAGAAUACCUCUUCCCCUUUUUGGGUCUCUCACUUUUCCACGUGGCCUGUCCCAUCACACACAAACACAGGGCACAGGUUUGGGGCUUCCCAGCCCUGCUCCCCACACAACUGCUCCUACAGAGGGGACUGUCUUGGGGAAUCCCAAGAGUCAAGACCAAACUCUAAGAGUAGCAGUUCUCAAACUUGGCCUUCAUCGCAAUCCCCUGGAGGGCUUGUUAAAACACAGCUGGGAAGAUAAAGAGUUUCUGAGUCAGGAGGCCUGGGGGAAGGAGGGUGAUAAGAAUUUGCAUUUCUAGCCAGUUCCCAGGUGACUUUGAGGCUGCUGAGCAGAAACCACCUGUUGAGAGCUGCUGGGUCUUACAGCAAUCACUGAACGGCCCAGGGCUAAGAAGCAGGGUGCAGCCAGAAGACCCCAUCGCAUGCCUCCAGCACAAGGACUGAAGUGGGUCCAACUCCUCGCUUAGCAUAGAUUAAACUGUCCAGCACACUGGAGCUCGGGACUCAUCUCAGCUUGCCCUGGGCCUGCACUUGCCGGUUAGUCACCCAGCAUCUGUGCUCAGGUGCUACACCGUGCCUGGCCGGGGGACACGAAGCCGGGCGGCAAGAAAAGAAACAGCAAAAGCAGAGAUAGCAGGGCGGCGGCAUCAGAGCCCUUCCAGCAGCAGUACAGAGCAGGGUAAGUGGCCGAUAAGACGCGUAUCAGAGAGGCUGCUCUGCAGAAAGAAGAGCGGGAGCGAAGGAACAGUGCAGAGGGGCUGGGAGACAAGCUGUCAGGGCUGGCCCCAGGCCCUGUGCAGGGCGGCGGGUCCAGGGGAGGUGGCGUGCGAGGUUGGUGCAAUUCUAGGUCGCACUACUGGCAGGCCAGUGCUGCCUGGACUGGGAGCCAGCUGCUUCCCUCCCCUCCAGGCUCCGGAGCUGUGUGACAGUAGCCUGGCCUGGGCUGCGUUUCACCUACGGACGUGUUUUGUUUAGCCCGCUUGAUGUUUCGAGGUUUGGGAAAUUGCACAUGAAAUUCCAGAUGUCUGACUUCUCUGGCUCCCUGGAGCCCAUCUUCCUGCACAGCAGCAACGGGUUCGGUCCGCAGGGCGACAGCGUCUGCAGACAGCACGUGCUCUCGAGUCCUCCACUCCCCACGCCUGCCCUGUUUCUCCCGUUCUGACCUGCCCAGCUACGUGAGCAUCUUUUGGGGAGCUCUCCUCCGUUUCAAGCCUUCUCUGAUGUCUAUUCUGAUUGGCAACCACAGAGACUGCGCCCACUUCUUGAUUGCCCUGUGAACUUGGGCAAACCCGAGCCCUGUGCUGAGUUCCUUAUUUGUGCUGUGGGCUGGGCACAGAAGGGACUGGCUGUGCGGUCUUAAAGAUUUUAGUCUCCAGGGUCCUGGCAAUUCACGUAGGCAAAAAUCUCAGGUGGAAGGAGAAGAACUGCAGGACGUCCGGGAGAGAGAGCUGGUAACCUGGUCUCUAACUCAGAAGAUGGGCGGCCUCAUACUUCAUUAUCCUAACUGGGACACUUCUCAGAGUGAAGGGAAAGGUCUUAAUAAUGACCCUGGAAUAGCAGGUAUAAACCAGGACUGUCUUCAGCAAUCCAAGAUAAACGGUGACCUAUGAAUAAAGAAGAGAAACUGGCCUUACCUCUCGAUGUCUCAGCUGAAAGCUUCUGCCCUCGUGGUAGCAGUUGUAAGUUUUUAGCAAGCUUAAGAGCUCCGACCUAAAAAGGUAAACACACAUAUAAUCUUGGGGCGUGGCAGGCUUUGGGACGUGACGAUACUGGUCUCUCCAGCCACACAUAAUCAGUUUAGAGACUAGACUCUGCCAUCAGACACAUGCCUUUUAGUCUUCUAGAGGUUUCCACAUGACAGACCUUGUGUAAGGUGUAGGGCUGGGAAAAGAAGGAAGUGAGCUCACAGACGGCCCAUAGAAUUGUGCAAAUGGUGUUUGCAUGCUUUCACUAUCACAGAUAAGAGUUCCCGAACAUCUCCCUGUACUUUACUUCUGAGUCAUUUCCUCAAUAAAUCCCCCGGGAUUGGAUUAUUGGCAUUUGAAAGACUCUUGCUUCCCCCCUCGGCUCCCCCCCCCACCAAUAUUACUUCCUGUGAGUGCCUGGUGUGGCUGCUCUGGGGGCAUCAUGAGGGGUGUCUGCCUCUUCCUCAUCCUGGCUUUCUGGAGGUCUGACCAAGAGGUGAAGGUGACAGCUGUGCGAUAAGAUCCCGAAGGUCUGAGGGAGGCCACUCUGCCCAAACUCCUUCUCCCCAGAAUAAAGGGAAGCCUUAGCGGAUAGAAGCCGGUCCCUGCGCCCAAGCUGGGCUCUGCCGGGGAGUGCAGUCCAACAGAUAAGAAAUGCAAGGCACACGUGUGCUUUUAACCCUUCCAGCGGUCACAUCACGAAGGAAAACAAAACAGGUGAAAUUAAUUUUCAUAAUGCAUUUUAUUUUAUGACACAAUAUAUCUAAAAUAUUUUCAUGUCCACAUGUAAUCAAUAUGAACAUGAUGAAUGAGGCCUUAUUCAUUAUUUUAUUUUGUAAUAAGUGUUUGCCACCUGUAUUUCGUAUUAAUAUAUGAACGUUUUACAUAAACGUUAUUAACGAGAUCUUGUUCAUUAUUGUAUUUCGUAAUAUGUCCUUGCCACCUGUCUUUUAUAUUAACUGUACUUCUCCGCCCGUAAGUCACGUGCUUGGCGGCCACACGUGGAAGUCACUCCCCUGCUGGCCGGGGCCGCUUUAGAACCUCUCUGGGCAGUGCCUUCACUGACACUGGAGCACUCCAGGGAGUGGAUAAGCAAAACCCGCCGUUGGUGCCCUGGUGUGCUGCCUGAUGUGGGGAUGACGGUAACUGAUGACGGAAGUGAUUCACCUGUGGUUCAGUUAAUGUUAUGGCAUUAACAUUGCAAGAGUCAAUGCUGCAUAUUCGCUGUGCUUGUAGGUGUAUCAAUGCUGAACAUAAACUUAUUAGGAUAUAUACACCUGAAAUUAAUCACGUUAUGGCUAUUAUUAUGACUUUCCCCAAAACUAUAUUUUUUUGAGAGAGAGAGAAAGAGAGACAGAGAGAGAGAACGAGCAAGCAGGGGAGAGAGGCAGAGAGAGAGAGAGAGAGAGAAUGAGAGAAUCCUAAGCAGGCUGUACCAUCCCAGGACCCUGGGAUCAUGACCUGAGUUGAAGUCAAGAGUUAGCUGCUCAACCAACGGAGCCACCCAGGCGUACCUACUGUUAUUCUCAUUAUAAAAUUUAAACCGGGAAUGUGAGAGUAUGGGCAGCACUGUGAAUGGGAUGCUGUCUGUUUUCUCAGGUGUCUAACUGGAGGACCCAGGAAGCAGCUCAGCAAAAGCUAGGAGGCUGGCUUUUCUUCAAGGAGGCAAAUAGGAGCUGCCCAAAUCUAGAAAAUAUUUGGACCCAGCACGCAAAAAGCAAGAGAAAAAUGAAAACUUACGUUAGUGCAGAAAUACAUUUGAAUAAAUACUCCAAGCAUUUUUUUUUAUGGUAAGACGGAGUAAAUAAAAUUGAAAAUAAGCCAAGCUAAAAACUCAUCAUGUCAAUAAAAUAGGCUUUUUUCAAGAACAA